GGGGAUGUAGCUCAGAUGGUAGAGUUCUCGCUUACCAUGUGAGAAGUACAGGGAUCGAUUCUCUGCAUCUCCA
rnacentral:tRNA from 1 species